CUGCUCUCUGUAACAGACUGCAGUUUUUUUCUAGAAAAAAGCAUCUGGAUCAUCGCCGUCUGCCGUUGGCGUGGGAGGCAGAAGUAGAGAGCUUACAGUUAUAGGCAGAAUUGUUGUUGUGUUACCGAAUUAAUCGGAGAAGAUUUUCAUUUCUAUGAUCGAGCUUGGAUUUAUUUGAGUUUUGUGUGACCAAUAUCCCGGCUGUUUUUUAUCCUUUUGGAGAUUUCAGCAGAGGUGAGUCCGCACCUUGCUGCUGCCACUUGUUCCAUUGGUUCCCACUGUGGCUGGAUCUUCUACUGGGCUGCACCGCCUCCCUUCGUAUUGCCUGUUCUGGACCUUUUUCCAUUCAUGGACACUUAUUGAGAGCUGCACCUCCAGUCAUCAGUCUGCAGUUCUACUCCUCCAUCAUUGAGUCCAUCCUCACUU